rnacentral:misc_RNA from 1 species
AAGGAGUCUAACAUAUCUGCGAGUAUUUGGGUGUCAAACCCGUGUGCGCAAUGAAAGUGAACGUAGGAGCCACGUGCAAGCUGCAGCUUCGACGGAUCUGGAUCUUUAGUGAUGGAUUUGAGUAAGAGCAUAUAUGUUGGGACCCGAAAGAUGGUGAACUAUGCCUUAAUAGGGCGAAGCCAGAGGAAACUCUGUUGGAGGCUCGUAGCGAUUAUAACGUGCAAAUCGAUCGUCAAAUUUGGGUAUAGGGGCGAAAGACUAAUCGAACCAUCUAGUACCUGGUUCCUGC